UUCAAAAGACAUCGUAUUAAAAAAUGUAUUCUUUACUUAUAAAUUCAUGAUAACCUUCGAUUAGCCAACGUAGGAUUGUAUUCCUCACUUAUAAAUUCAUGAUAAUCCUUGAUUAACCAACGUAGGAUUUCUUCCCAACAAUCCUCAACAUAGCACAUCACGUAAAUCUCAGUCUAGUAGUAUAAGAUAUCAUCGUCAGCAUCCAAAGCUUUGAACAUGUGUAAUUCCAGGUUCAAUUCAAUAAAAGAAGAGAUUAAGCAAUCCUGAACCAUUUAUUAUGUUUAUAACGUCCAUAUCCAUAGUGCAGUGUUGUCAUUUCCCUAGCACAAGAAAGAAAAGUGGUCUAUAAUCGUUUCCAUAUGGUUUAAUGCUGCCUAUUCUUUGGUGAAUUAAUGGCCAAGGUACUCAAAGAAGCCACAGCCAUCCAUAGUGCACGGUCCAACGUAGCACUUACAGAGACGAUGGUCAUGAGGCAGUAGCUUUGGUGGUUGUUGAGAAGGGACAGCGAAAUUUCGAGAACGCGUAGUGGUUAAAGACCGCGUGGCGUGUGGAAAACCCUACACAAGCAAGACGGCUAGGAACACACGUCAAGAGAGAUGUUUCUCUAUGCUGCAUUCUCUCGCCAUUUCUCUCCAAUGGUACGUAUCUCGACUUUGAUCCUAAACUCUUAUGACUUUAUUUUUUAUUUCCUGAAACGUCUUGUAUCAAUGAAGAUGUAUUCUUUACUUAUAAAUUCAUUAUCAUCCUCUAAAUUAGCCAACGCGGACUCCUCCUCGUCCCUACUUAUUUUGUUUUGUUAGUACCCAUCCAUUUUGAUCUUCCUACUGUGAGGUG